UACGUAGGGGGCUAGCGUUGUCCGGAAUUAUUGGGCGUAAAGAGCUCGUAGGCGGUCUGUCGCGUCUGCUGUGAAAACUCGGGGCUUAACCCCGGGCCUGCAGUGGGUACGGGCAGACUAGAGUGCGGUAGGGGAGACUGGAAUUCCUGGUGUAGCGGUGAAAUGCGCAGAUAUCAGGAGGAACACCGGUGGCGAAGGCGGGUCUCUGGGCCGUAACUGACGCUGAGGAGCGAAAGCGUGGGGAGCGAACAGG
rnacentral:rRNA from 1 species